GACGAGGGGUCCAAGCGUUGUUCGGAAUCAUUGGGCGUAAAGCGGGUGUAGGUGGCUUUGUAAGUCAGGAGUGAAAUCCCCGAGCUUAACUUGGGAAGUGCUUUGAAACUGCAGGGCUUGAGUGUGGGAGAGGAUCGUGGAAUUCCAGGUGUAGUGGUGAAAUACGUAGAUAUCUGGAGGAACACCGGUGGCGAAGGCGGCGAUCUGGCCCAACACUGACACUGAGACCCGAAAGCGUGGGGAGCGAACAGG
rnacentral:rRNA from 1 species